CAUGCAUGGUGGAAGUUGAUCGAGACUAUCAAUUCUUCGAGAGGUCCAGCGACUUUAUACUCGCAAGAAGGAUAUGGUAUGGAAUAGCUUUCUACACCUCUGGGCUGGCAGAUUUGUAAGAUUGGAAGUUGUUUCAGUGUGGGAGAGAGAUGAACACUUUGUAUGGUCAGGUAAAAUUUGCUGUUGAAGUCACAAGUAAGUCUCAAUAAUGGCAUUUCCAUUUCUUGUUUUCUAACUAGCUAUGUACUGGAAAGUUGGUGGUUCUACUCUUAAAAGGUGUCUGUUUUUGUCCCGAGUAGGUCUCAAUAACGCCAUUUCCAUUUCUUGUUUUCUAACAAGCUAUGUAUUGAAAAGGUGGUUCUACUCUUAAAAGGUGUCUGUCUUUGUCCGAGAUAAUGCCAUUAAGGCACAUUUUCCUCUACCUUUAAAGCUGGAAAGUCACCAAAAUAGAAUGUAGAAUUGUAUCUGUUUAAUAGAAAAAUUGCUUAGGUUACUUUUUGAGAUUGCAAUGUUGUUCUGUUAACCCCAGUGACAUUUCAGAAAACCCUUGCAACAUGUUGGCUGGAUUUCUAGAUUGAUGUUGGAAGUUGUGAUGAUGGAUUUAUGUCAGAAUGUUGAUGGUUGUGUGACAUUGGUGAAGUGAUUUUUAUGACAUUGGUGAAGUGUGAUUGUGCUGGAAAGUGACAUGAUGGAGCAUUGGUAAAUUAUCUAUUUUGAGUUUGUGUAAGUCACAGGACAACUGGAGUGCAACAUGUAUGGAGGUUCAAUUUUUCAAUAGCUUAGUAAUAAAUCAGUUACACAUUCAGUAGAUUGGAAAUGCUUUUGUAGCUUAAAAGUCUAUAACUAGGUAGACUGGAAUGUUGGUUGCUAUACUCUGUUUGGUACCAGCCCUUGCCUGAAACAAUGUAGAUUUGGGGCAUAAUUUCCUACCAAUAAAGGUGGCCAGUCGCCAUAUGACUUGAGAACCAACUUAACUAUCUCUUUUGGUUUAGUUAAAAGAGUUUGUUUAAAAUAUGGUCAAUGUUAACAUUUUGAGAUUGGAAUGUUGUUUUGUUAACCCAGUGACUUUUCAGUAAACCUAUAGACCAUGGAGUCUGAAUGGCUUGAGUGGCAUCAAAUGUGAUGAUGGAUAGAUGUCAGAAAAUGGAUGGUAAAAGCACACAUGUGACAGAGUAAUGAAGAACUUGACAUGCAUGGUGGAAGUUUAUCGAGACUAUCAAUUCUUCGAGAGGUCCAGCGACUUUAUACUCGCAAGAAGGAUAUGGUAUGGAAUAGCUUUCUACAUGUCUGGGCUGGCAGAUUUGUAAGAUUGGAAGUUGUUUCAGUGUGGAGUGAGAUGAACACUUUGUAUGGUCAGGUAAAAUUUGCUUUUGAAGUCACAAGUAAGUCUCAAUAAAUGCAUUUCCAUUUCUAGUUGUUUAACUAGCUAUGUAUUGGAAAGUUGGUGGUUCUACUCUUAAAAGGUGUCUGUCUUUGUCCGAAACAAUGCCAUUAAGGCACAUUUUCCUCUACCUUUAAAGCUGGACAGUCACCAAAAUAAAAUGUAGAAUUGUAUCUGCUUAAUGGAAAUAUUGUAUAGGUUAUACUGUUACUUUUUGAGAAUGCAAUGUUGUUCUGUUAACCCCAGAGAUAUUUCAGAAAACCCUUGCAACAUGUUGGCUAGAUUGAUGUCGGAAGUUGUGUUGAUGGAUUUAUGUUGGAAUGUGGAUGGUUGUGUGACAUUGGUGAAGAUUUGUCAGAUUUGGAGUUGCUCCAGUGUGGAGAGAGAUGGAAACAGUGUAUCGAUUAAAAAAACUACUCAAGGAUGUCACAGGAGAUCUGAUGGUUCAUCGGAAAAUGGUGUAGUGUGUGUGUGUGUUGAUCUGACGGGACAAUUAUUCCAUUAUAUAUUGUUAAAUGGUGAGUACUAGAUGAUAUUUUCCAUCAUGUUAUCAAGACGAGAGACAAGGCGGUAAGAAUUGCAAUGUUUUUUUGUUGCUCAGCAUUGUGAAAGACGAGGCAAGUACAGCAGAACAGAGGUAAAAUAUUGAAUAGGUGAAAUAUUGUAUUUAUUGUGGCGGGAGGGACAUUAAUAAAUCUCAUUAUGAAUAAUAUGUUGUGGUUAGUGAAAUGAAUAGAAAAAGAUAUAGUGAAUUGCCUGGAAAGAAAUGAGAAUGAAAACAGUGUGAAGUUUUGGGAAUAUGAAUAGGACAUGAAAAGUCAGUGCAGUGAAAAAUGGAAGCAGUGUUUGAAAUAGGAAAGAUAUGAAGGAACUGCAAGAGGUCAGUAAUAGACAUUUUUGAAAAGUGGAAAUUUGAAAGUGAAAAAUGAAUGAAAAUAAAUGGAAAGAGAGAGAGAAUACAUGGAAAUUUGAAUGGAAACAAUUGAAUAAUACGAGUCAAGGAAAUGAAAAGAACUAGAGGAGAGUUGAAUGAAAUGAAAUGUGAAAGCAAAAAUAAUUUAUCAUAUGUGAAAAGCGAAUGAAUUAUAAAAGAAAAUCGAGAAAAUGUAGAUGAAAAAAGAUAAGAAAGCAAUUGACUUUCUAGACAGAUCAACUUUCUGUAGAAAGUCAAUUUCAGGUGAUUGUUGUUUGUUUGCACCAUCCCAUCAUAGUUCUGCUAUGAAGGGAAAGUGCAUGUAUGACAGAUUUUCUACUUUAUUCUCAUCUAACUUUAUCUAGAUCUUUACAAAACUUUCUUUUCUAUACAAAGAUUUCCCCACUUAUUGACCAGACAAGAUUAUGAAGGUACUGACCAUUGGUCAUUGACAUAUACCAGUUGUGACAAACCUCUCCAUCAAAAUAUUUGUUCUUACUAGCUUUUAUAAUGACAUUGACCAUGACAUUGACCAAUUAACAAGACUUUACGAACCAGUCAUGGCUUUCCCUAUAGUUAUUGAUGGGGGAAGCUUUUUGACUAAUUUACUUUUACUACUUAGGCCCAUGCAACCUUAGACCAAAACUUUUUCCGGUUAUUGGUCAGACAGAGACAUUUGGCAUUUAUUGAAGCUCUUUGGCGGCAGUUGAAUGGUGGGAGAUGUGUGUACUUGUGACUUAAACCUCAGUGUCUCUUCUAGGACUUGUUAAUGCGAAAUUCACACUAUUUUUUCAAAAAUUGCGCACAUUUUGGAAAACCGUGUGUGAAAUCCUGCAUCUAAAUUCAUCAGUUUUCUCUAAAAGCAUAAAGGUCUAGAAAACUUGUUUUGUUUACAUGAACACGGGGAAGCCAAAGGGAGGUAAUUGUGAACUAAAUAAACAAUCUUCUUCACAGUGAUCUUCCCUUGUUAGUAUAGUGAUUACAAUCUGCCAAGGGAGGUAAUCAUUGGGAGGAGUUUGUUAAAUAAAAUAUUUUUCGUUGACAACUCCUUUUUCUA